GGUUGAUCCUGCCAGUAGUCAUAUGCUUGUCUCAAAGAUUAAGCCAUGCAUGUCCAAGUAUAAACAAUUGUACAGUGAAACUGCGAAUGGCUCAUUAUAUCAGUUAUAAUUCAUUUGAGAGUUGGAUUUACAUGGAUAACCGUGGUAAUUCUAGAGCUAAUACAUGCGCAGAGCCCGAUUGGGCGGUAUUUAUUAGAUAACAACCGACUGUGCUUGCACGUUGGGGAGUCAUGAUAACUUGUCGGAUCGCAUGGCUUUGGCCGGCGACGUUUCAAAGAAAUUUCUGCCCUAU
rnacentral:rRNA from 1 species